UACGUAGGGGGCAAGCGUUAUCCGGAAUUACUGGGUGUAAAGGGAGCGUAGGCGGUAUGAUAAGCCAGAUGUGAAAGCCCGAAGCUUAACUUCGAGGAUUGCAUUUGGAACUAUCAAACUAGAGUACAGGAGAGGUAAGUGGAAUUCCUAGUGUAGCGGUGAAAUGCGUAGAUAUUAGGAAGAACACCAGUGGCGAAGGCGACUUACUGGACUGAAACUGACGCUGAGGCUCGAAAGCGUGGGGAGCGAACAGGAUUAGAUACCCUGGUAGUCCACGCUGUAAACGAUGAGUGCUAGGUGUCGGAGGGGAACCUUCGGUGCCGCAGCUAACGCAAUAAGCACUCCACCUGGGGAGUACGAUCGCAAGAUUGAA
rnacentral:rRNA from 1 species